CUGUCCCUUUCCGUUGAGCGCUGCUCUGUGGUGCGAGGCGGACCUCAAAGUAGUCCCUGUGUUCCAAGCUUUCGCCGCGAUCAUGUGGUGCGGGCGUGGCUCACGGGUUCCUACUCGUUCUCUCGGAUAUUGAAGCUUGUGAGGGCACGGGGCCUCGGUCCCUAUUUUGCCCAAACAAAGCGUUCGUCGCUCGACACGUACGACAGCCGUGCUCGCCUUGACCUCUCCGACUCUGUUGGUUAGGCUCAUGCGGCGCCGGCGUCGAACAGGAUGCUACCUGGUUGAUCCUGCCAGUAGUCAUAUGC
rnacentral:misc_RNA from 1 species